ACUUUUUUGGAAAUACUACUUUAUAGUACUGCAGUGAUGUCAUUAAAUGAUACAUUUGAUAUCAAAAAUAUCUUCAGGAGAUAUUUAUUCCCUUCUUUUGUUUAUAGGUUUGGCAGAAUGGCAUGCUCCUACUGCGGGAAUGUUUCUAUGGGUUAAAAUUAAGGGCAUUAAUGAUGUAAAAAAACUGAUUGAAGAAAAAGCCAUUAAAAAAGAGAUAUUAAUGGUUCCUGGAAGUGAGUUCUACGUUGAUAGCUCAGCUCCUAGCCCUUUCUUUAGAGCGUCCUUCUCUUUGGCUUCUCCAGAACAAAUGGAUGUGGCUUUCCAGAGAUUAGCCCAACUUAUAAAAGAAUCCUUAUAAAGACAUCAAACUCUUCAUAGCACUCGUAGAUUUUUCAGAUAAUGAUUUCUAUAUUUUAGCAGCAAGAAAUGAUCAUUGAUGCUACACAGGUUGGAUUUCAUCAAAUAUGUCAUUUCUGUAGUAAUCUAACUAGACAACUUUUAAAAUGCCCUUAAAUCCCCCAGAUUGCCAAACUACAUUUAUAAUCCAUUUAUACCUUUUGAUAAGUUUUCAGCUUGCAAAAUAAAUUAUUUUUAUCUGACAUUUUAUUGUAAAGAACUCUGUGGUUGC